rnacentral:misc_RNA from 1 species
GCCUGGUUGUUUUUCAGUUGGGCCUCUAAGUUGAAAGGCUUUAAGCAUGACCAGUUUACCUACACGACUAUGUUGGAUAUAUUUGGGGAAGCUGGGAGGAUUUCAUCCAUGAACUAUAUCUUUCAGCAGAUGCAAGACAAAGAAAUCAAGAUAGAUGCAGUGACGUAUACAUCCCUUCUUCACUGGCUUUCCGACCAUGGGGACAUUAAUGAGUCAAUUAAAUUAUGGCAGGAUAUGAAAG